rnacentral:sRNA from 1 species
UGUCUGAGGGAUUCACCCGGUCGGCGGC